GAAGCUGCUGUUUCUCUCCUACUCUCACACUGGUCAGAUCUUCAGACAGGAUGAGUUUUGGAUGAGCAGUGUUUGGAUCCAGAAUCACAGGACUGUAGGAGACCAUGUCCUUCAUCUUGUUCCAGAUGUUGAAGGUCAGGUUGCCCAGGUGUUUGGCCUCGUCUAUCAGAGCUCCUGAGGGCAGCUGUGGAUCCUCCAGCAGGGGGCGCUGCUGGACUCUUUCCACUGCAGCCUUGUAGUUGUUCAGGAAUGAGACGUCUUCAGCUCUCAGCUCCUCCUCUGUGGCUCUGACUGUGUCUGAAAGAGCUGCUAUCUCUCUGCUCAGAGCCU